rnacentral:rRNA from 1 species
GUGGGGAAUAUUGGACAAUGGGCGAAAGCCUGAUCCAGCCAUGCCGCGUGUGUGAAGAAGGUCUUCGGAUUGUAAAGCACUUUAAGUUGGGAGGAAGGGCAGUAAGUUAAUACCUUGCUGUUUUGACGUUACCGACAGAAUAAGCACCGGCUAACUUCGUGCCAGCAGCCGCGGUAAUACGAAGGGUGCAAGCGUUAAUCGGAAUUACUGGGCGUAAAGCGCGCGUAGGUGGUUUUGUAAGUUGGAGGUGAAAUCCCCGGGCUCAACCUGGGAACUGCCUGCAAAGCUACUGAGCUAGAGUACGGUAGAGGGUAGUGGAAUGUCCUGUGUAGCGGUGAAAUGCGUAGAUAUAGGAAGGAACACCAGUGGCGAAGGCGAAUACCUUGACUGAUACUGACACUGAGGUGCGAAAGCGUGGGGAGCAAACAGGAUUAGAAACCCCGGUAGUCC